UACGGAGGGUGCGAGCGUUAUUCGGAAUUACUGGGCGUAAAGCGCGUGUAGGCGGCAGGGCAAGUCUGGUGUGAAAGCCCGGGGCUCAACCCCGGAAGUGCAUUGGAAACUGCUCUGCUUGAGUACCGGAGAGGAAGGGGGAAUUCCCGGUGUGGCGGUGAAAUGCGUAGAUAUCGGGAGGAAUACCAGUGGCGAAGGCGACCUUCUGGACGGUUACUGACGCUGAGACGCGAAAGCGUGGGGAGCAAACAGG
rnacentral:rRNA from 1 species